AAAAAAUGUCUCAUUUGUAUUUGUUUCAACAACUUUAGAGGCUGAAACAGCAGACCCAAAUGCUCUAAUCCUACAACAGUGUGGUUGAUAAGCAACAAAGGGUCGAAACAAAUAGAGGUUUGGUGGAGAUGACGACCUCCAUAGCUUACAAAUUGAAAUUGAAUGCUGUAAAAUCAUCAGCUUUAACCCCUUUUUAGCUAAAAUUAAGAAUUUGGGGCUUCUUUAUAA
rnacentral:misc_RNA from 1 species